rnacentral:rRNA from 2 species
UUUAUCGGAGAGUUUGAUCCUGGCUCAGGACGAACGCUGGCGGCGUGCCUAAUACAUGCAAGUCGAGCGGA